AACACAUUUACUAUUAUCAGAAACAAUUUUUUCUCCCCUCCCCCUCCGGACGGCAGAAAUUUCCUCCGUGGGGGGAGCAUGGAUAUUUUCUGGAACGACCAUUUGAAUUUGAAAGGGUGUACAUUUUUUUGAUACACCCUGUAUUAUGCAUGGCAUUCAGGGCGAUUAGUGAUUAAAUGUACCCGAAAGCCGAGCGAGGUUUACUAAGCCUGGUUCACUCUAGCUAUUCUGUCGGCGAUUUUUCACCUCCUGGCAAAUGUGAUCGAAUGAAUGACAUGUAAAAGACUUGGGCCUGUUUCAAAUCUCGCGCUUCUCAUGUGCCCGAACGCAUUAGAAAUAGAUAAUAGCCGAAUUCAUAUUAGGAAC
rnacentral:lncRNA from 1 species